rnacentral:rRNA from 1 species
AUUGAACGCUGGCGGCAGGCCUAACACAUGCAAGUCGAACGGUAACAGGAAGCAGCUUGCUGCUUCGCUGACGAGUGGCGGACGGGUGAGUAAUGUCUGGGAAGCUGCCUGAUGGAGGGGGAUAACUACUGGAAACGGUAGCUAAUACCGCAUAAUGUCGCAAGACCAAAGAGGGGGACCUUCGGGCCUCUUGCCAUCGGAUGUGCCCAGAUGGGAUUAGCUUGUUGGUGGGGUAACGGCUCACCAAGGCGACGAUCCCUAGCUGGUCUGAGAGGGUGACCAGCCACACUGGGACUGAGACACGGUCCAGACUCCUACGGGAGGCAGCAGUGGGGAAUAUUGCACAAUGGGCGCAAGCCUGAUGCAGCCAUGCCGCGUGUAUGAAGAAGGCCUUCGGGUUGUAAAGUACUUUCAGCGGGGAGGAGGGGAGUAAAGUUAAUACCUUUGCUCAUUGACGUUACCCGCAGAAGAAGCACCGGCUAACUCCGUG